CAUGAGUUAAGUGCUUCGAAACUAGUUUUCAGAAAUGCCCUUGGCAAAUCUCUCAGCAGUUGUUUAGUGGUUCAUUUUGUGAUGAGGAUAUUUGGCACCUGUUCAGUUCCUCUUCUCUGGACCUCAGCUGAACCUGAGGCAGAAAGAGUCCCAUGUUAACAUUCUGUUGCAUCAACCAAUUGGUCAAAUAGCUUUUACCAGGAACCAACAUCCAAUAGAAACAUCUACCCUUAUUUACAAGCUAGAUGUGGAGUCUGAGUUGCCCUUGCUCCUCUCUUGUUCCCACAGGGGCCAGCUGGGUGAGAUGUCAUACACCACGAUGUGCAUUAAGGAGUCCCUCCGCUUGGCACCUCCAGUCCUCUCCUUUUCCAGAGAACUCAGCAAGCCCAUUACCUUCUCAGAUGGACGCUCCUUGCCUGCAGGAAUUACUGUGGUUUGCAGUAUCUGGGGGCUCCACCACAACCCUGCCAUCUGGGAAAACCCACAGGUACGCCUGUCUCACACGUAAAUACUUCCAAGAACUAACACUGUGCAGUUUACUUUGUGUUAGUUAGGCAUGGAAGUGGCAAAUGACACAACACGACAAAAAUAGUCAUAACCAACAAUGAGACACUUUUCCACUUAAGGACCACCGCCUCUUCCUCUCUUCCUACCUCAUCUUGCUUUGGAGGGAAGCUUGGGGUAAGGCCCUGCCAGCUGCUCUAAAUUGCCCCGGGCGGUAUUUCAGUCUUUUCUUAAGGCGCUCUCCCAAGCACUUAGCUAGACGUCCGCAAGGGUGUGGACUGUCCACAGCCACUCGGGCCCCUCUAAGUCUCCUCUGCUGGAUGUCACCAUCAGAAUUCUGGCAGGAAGGCAAGGGCCCACUCAAGGGGGGGAGAGUGGACUUGAGUGUGUUUUGAGGAGAACUUCAGAGAGGAACUCUCGGGGUAGGGUUUCGGAGAAGCCAGACGGAGCAAAUAACUGCUGCAGUGCUUACUCCUCUGGGCUUGAGGGACAUGGGAGGGAGAGUUAGGAAACCCGGAGAGAGAUUGCAGCUGGGAAAGGCCCCUGGACAGGAGUGGUGGCUGCCAGCAGAGUGUGCAGUUAACCUUUGGCCGCCUGGCUGGGAGGCGCCCGGGGAUUAAACGCCCUGGACGUGCUCUCCUCCCACUCUCCAGAUCUCCUCUCCAUGCCAAACCCGCGGGGAACCACAGGGGCCUGUCGGGAGCCCGGCGCAGGAUGGGAAAGGGAGGAGAGGGGAUCUGGAGAGGCCAGAAGGAGAUGGGGAGCACUCC
rnacentral:lncRNA from 1 species